rnacentral:rRNA from 1 species
GACGAACGCUGGCGGCGUGCUUAACACAUGCAAGUCGAACGGAAAGGCCCUGCUUUUGUGGGGUGCUCGAGUGGCGAACGGGUGAGUAACACGUGAGUAACCUGCCCUUGACUUUGGGAUAACUUCAGGAAACUGGGGCUAAUACCGGAUAGGAGCUCCUGCUGCAUGGUGGGGGUUGGAAAGUUUCGGCGGUUGGGGAUGGACUCGCGGCUUAUCAGCUUGUUGGUGGGGUAGUGGCUUACCAAGGCUUUGACGGGUAGCCGGCCUGAGAGGGUGGCCGGCCACAUUGGGACUGAGAUACGGCCCAGACUCCUACGGGAGGCAGCAGUGGGGAAUAUUGCACAAUGGGCGGAAGCCUGAUGCAGCAACGCCGCGUGCGGGAUGACGGCCUUCGGGUUGUAAACCGCUUUCGCCUGUGACGAAGCGUGAGUGACGGUAAUGGGUAAAGAAGCACCGGCUAACUACG